rnacentral:rRNA from 1 species
GAUGAACGCUAGCGGCAGGCUUAAUACAUGCAAGUCGAGGGGCAGCGCAGUGUAGCAAUACAUGGGCGGCGACCGGCAAACGGGUGCGGAACACGUACACAACCUUCCUACAAGUGGGGAAUAGCCCAGAGAAAUUUGGAUUAAUACCCCGUAACAUAGCGAUGUGGCAUCACAUUGCUAUUAUAGCUUCGGCGCUUGUUGCUGGGUGUGCGGCUGAUUAGAUAGUUGGCGGGGUAACGGCCCACCAAGUCUACGAUCAGUAGCUGAUGUGAGAGCAUGAUCAGCCAAACGGGCAAUGAGACACGGGCCCGACUCCUACGGGAGGAAGCAGUAAGGAAUAUUGGACAAUGGACGCAAGUCUGAUCCAGCCAUGCCGCGUGAAGGAUUAAGGUCCUCUGGAUUGUAAACUUCUUUUAUAAGGGACGAAAAAAGGUCUUUCUAGAUCGUCUGACGGUACCUUAUGAAUAAGCACCGGCUAACUCCGUGCCAGCAGCCGCAGUAAGAC